ensembl:lncRNA
AGUGAAAAUAUACUAGGAGAGACAAUUCAGUUGUGUAUCACAUUUAUUUUGCACAUUCAGUGGGUGUUAAGAACACUAACAUACAGGAGGGUGUGUAACAUUAGCAGAGCUCUCACAGCAUUUUGCAGUACAGUAUAUGUCAAAUAUUCACACUAAUACAACAUUUUGAAGUGUCUGGCAAAUUAAUUUUUGAACACCAAAGUGAUUGUGUAUAGGACACAAUAAAAAAAAAAAAAACUUUAAUCUGGGUUUUUUUUUUUCUCUGUGUAUUGUUUGUCACACGGAUUGAAUCUUUUAAUAUCUUUCCAUUUUGUCACACACAAAAAAGUAUCUUCUAUCCGAAAGACAUUACUUGGAGGAUAGUGUGCGCUUUUAUACAGGGAGUGUGGCUUGAGCCUUUAAGAAGCUUGAAUGGGUUAAUUUGUGGGGAAUUGAUCGGGAAUGUUCGGAUGUAUGUUUAGGAUGUGACACUGUGCAUUUUGAGCUUCUCAGAUCUGUUAUUGUCUCUGCUCUGAUGGGUCUCCUCAAUCUUGGGCACAUUUCCUGCUUGGGAUUGAAAUACGAGAAUCAUUUACAUGUUCUGGUUUCGGUUCUGAUUCUGGUUCUUUAACAGUUAAGUUAACAAUUAUUUUUAAUACUUCUAAGGAAAAUAUAUUUGGGGAAAAUGCAAUUACAUUGUCAAUUGCCAACUGAUGAGUUCAUUUCAAUAAUAAGUACAUUUAAAACAAUUCUUAUAAUAGUCUUUUUAGGCAGCAUAAAUGCAAUCCAAUGAUUGACCUUAAAUAUAUUUGACAAAAGUACUAAACAAACUAUUUAUUUUAUUAAUAUUUAUAAAAUACUAAUAACAAAACACAUAAUAUGUAUCUUUAAACUACACAUUGUUGUCAUGUGAACAACCAGUCAGUCAUUAUGCUAAAUAGUUACAGAAGAAUCAUUUUUGGUUCCCCAAAGAACCUUUAAGUGAACAUUUCAUAAAAUAAACUUUUUAUUUUCUUAGUGUAAAGAACA